rnacentral:rRNA from 1 species
GCCAGCAGCCGCGGUAAUACGGAUGGUGCGAGCGUUAAUCGGAAUUACUGGGCGUAAAGCGCGCGUAGGCUGUUUUAUAAGUCGGAUGUGAAAUCCCCGGGCUCAACCUGGGAACUGCAUCCGAAACUAUUCAACUAGAGUAUGGGAGAGGUAAGUAGAAUUUCCGGUGUAGCGGUGAAAUGCGUAGAUAUCGGAAGGAAUACCAGUGGCGAAGGCGGCUUACUGGACCAAUACUGACGCUGAGGUGCGAAAGCGUGGGGAGCGAACAGGAUUAGAUACCCUGGUAGUCCACGCCGUAAACGAUGAGAACUAGACGUUGGGAGGGUGAGCCUUUCAGUGUCGCAGCUAACGCAUUAAGUUCUCCGCCUGGGGAGUACGACCGCAAGGUUGAAACUCAAAGGAAUUGAC